GACGAACGCUGGCGGCGUGCUUAACACAUGCAAGUCGAACGGAAAGGCCCUGCUUGCAGGGUACUCGAGUGGCGAACGGGUGAGUAACACGUGGGUGAUCUGCCCUGCACUUCGGGAUAAGCCUGGGAAACUGGGUCUAAUACCGGAUAGGAGCCAUUUUUAGUGUGAUGGUUGGAAAGUUUUUUCGGUGUAGGAUGAGCUCGCGGCCUAUCAGCUUGUUGGUGGGGUAAUGGCCUACCAAGGCGGCGACGGGUAGCCGGCCUGAGAGGGUGGACGGCCACAUUGGGACUGAGAUACGGCCCAGACUCCUACGGGAGGCAGCAGUGGGGAAGAUUGCACAAUGGGCGCAAGCCUGAUGCAGAGACGCCGCGUGGGGGAUGACGGCCUUCGGGUUGUAAACUCCUUUCGCUAGGGACGAAGCUUUUUGUGACGGUACCUAGAUAAGAAGCACCGGCUAACUACGUG
rnacentral:rRNA from 1 species